AUUGAACGCUGGCGGCAGGCUUAACACAUGCAAGUCGAGCGGGGUGAUGGUGCUUGCACUAUCACUUAGCGGCGGACGGGUGAGUAAUGCUUAGGAAUCUGCCUAUUAGUGGGGGACAACAUCUCGAAAGGGAUGCUAAUACCGCAUACGUCCUACGGGAGAAAGCAGGGGAUCACUUGUGACCUUGCGCUAAUAGAUGAGCCUAAGUCGGAUUAGCUAGUUGGUGGGGUAAAGGCCUACCAAGGCGACAAUCUGUAGCGGGUCUGAGAGGAUGAUCCGGCACACGGGGACUGAGACACGGCCCAGACUCCUACGGGAGGCAGCAGUGGGGAAUAUUGGACAAUGGGGGGAACCCUGAUCCAGCCAUGCCGCGUGUGUGAAGAAGGCCUUAUGGUUGUAAAGCACUUUAAGCGAGGAGGAGGCUCUUUUGGUUAAUACCCAAGAUGAGUGGACGUUACUCGCAGAAUAAGCACCGGCUAACUCUGUGCCAGCCGCCGCCGUAA
rnacentral:rRNA from 1 species